rnacentral:rRNA from 1 species
UACAGAGGGUGCAAGCGUUAAUCGGAAUUACUGGGCGUAAAGCGUGCGCAGGCGGUUAUGUAAGACAGAUGUGAAAUCCCCGGGCUCAACCUGGGAACUGCAUUUGUGACUGCAUAGCUAGAGUACGGUAGAGGGGGAUGGAAUUCCGCGUGUAGCAGUGAAAUGCGUAGAUAUGCGGAGGAACACCGAUGGCGAAGGCAAUCCCCUGGACCUGUACUGACGCUCAUGCACGAAAGGCGUGGGGAGCAAACAGG